rnacentral:rRNA from 1 species
AGCAGCCGCGGUAAUUCCAGCUCCAAUAGCGUAUAUUAAAGUUGUUGCAGUUAAAAAGCUCGUAGUUGAAUUUCGGGGUCAGCAAGUUGGUCGUGCCACUGGUAUGCACUGGCUUUACUGAUUCCUCCUUCUUGAAGAACUGUAAUGCUAUUAAUUUAGUGUUGCAGGGAAACAGGACUGUUACUUUGAAAAAUUAGAGUGUUUAAAGCAGGCUAACGCUUGAAUACAUUAGCAUGGAAUAAUGAAAUAGGACGUUUGAUCCUAUUUUGUUGGUUUCUAGGAUUGACGUAAUGAUUAAUAGGGAUAGUUGGGGGCAUUAGUAUUCAAUUGUCAGAGGUGAAAUUCUUGGAUUUAUUGAAGACUAACUACUGCGAAAGCAUUUGCCAAGGAUGUUUUCAUUAAUCAAGAACGAAAGUUAGGGGAUCGAAGACGAUCAGAUACCGUCGUAGUCUUAACCAUAAACUAUGCCGACUAGGGAUCGGAUGAUGUUAA